AUUGAACGCUGGCGGCAUGCUUUACACAUGCAAGUCGAACGGUAACAGGCCGCAAGGUGCUGACGAGUGGCGAACGGGUGAGUAAUGCAUCGGAACGUGCCCAGUCGUGGGGGAUAACUACUCGAAAGAGUAGCUAAUACCGCAUACGAUCUAUGGAUGAAAGCGGGGGACCGUAAGGCCUCGCGCGAUUGGAGCGGCCGAUGUCAGAUUAGGUAGUUGGUGGGGUAAAGGCUCACCAAGCCAACGAUCUGUAGCUGGUCUGAGAGGACGACCAGCCACACGGGGACUGAGACACGGCCCAGACUCCUACGGGAGGCAGCAGUGGGGAAUUUUGGACAAUGGGCGCAAGCCUGAUCCAGCAAUGCCGCGUGCAGGAAGAAGGCCUUCGGGUUGUAAACUGCUUUUGUACGGAACGAAACGGCUCUGGUUAAUACCCGGGGCUAAUGACGGUACCGUAAGAAUAAGCACCGGCUAACUACGU
rnacentral:rRNA from 1 species